rnacentral:rRNA from 1 species
GACGAACGCUGGCGGCGUGCUUAACACAUGCAAGUCGAACGGAAAGGCCCUGCUUUUGUGGGGUGCUCGAGUGGCGAACGGGUGAGUAACACGUGAGUAACCUGCCCUUGACUUUGGGAUAACUUCAGGAAACUGGGGCUCAUACCGGAUAGGAGCUCCUGCUGCAUGGUGGGGGUUGGAAAGUUUCGGCGGUUGGGGAUGGACUCGCGGCUUAUCCGCUUGUUGGUGGGGUAGUGGCUUACCAAGGCUUUGACGGGUAGCCGGCCUGAGAGGGUGACCGGCCACAUUGGGACUGAGAUACGGCCCAGACUCCUACGGGAGGCAGCAGUGGGGAAUAUUGCACAAUGGGCGGAAGCCAGAUGCAGCAACGCCGCGUGCGGGAUGACGGCCUUCGGGUUGUAAACCGCUUUCGCCUGUGACGAAGCGUGAGUGACGGUAAUGGGUAAAGAAGCACCGGCUAACUACGUG